rnacentral:lncRNA from 1 species
AUCCCCUUUCGCUCUCUUCCUCCAUUUCGAUCUUUUCCUCCCCUCGUCGACCAUCCCACGGAGGCCUCCGAGGCUGCUGUGAUCAGACCCUCCUCCGACGAUCGGCGAUGGAGGAGUCUCCGCGAUCUCGUCGACUCCAAUCCCGAGAACCGGGAGGCCGAGAUUCAGCCUUCCGCUUCCUCUCGCGUUUGGAAUCGGAUCUUCCCGAAUUUCUGUUCUUUGUUUCUAUAAUCCAAUCUUUUGAGCUAAGAGAAAGAGUAAAGUAUCCCUUCCUUGUUGAUUCUCUGCAGUGUAGGAUGGAAUCGGAGCGUCGAAAGAGGUUGAGGGAAGGUUCGCAGCUUCUGAUAAGAGGGCUCGACUCCAUCUCUUCCUGUUUGUCCCAUCUUUCCAGCACUCUAACGACCACGCGGCAGGUAAAUUAUGAAUAUUGCGUUUCUGGGAGGAAUCGUUCUUCAGAUGGAAAUUCUAUCAUUUUCCCGAUCUUUUUUACGUUCUCUGGCGUUAAAUUUCUUACAGAAGAAUACUUGUAUGCUAUUUAACAAUUGAUACUCUUUAAAAUAUCUUACUGAUUUGACAUUCCGUUAUAUCUUUUUCUUCUGCUCCACUUGCAAUCGGAGUUGAUCCUCUCAACAUGUACAUCGAGUAUUCCACCAUUCAGCAUCUUUCUCAACUCGAAAAGUCGUUACAUUCCCUCUUCUUCCUCUUCUUGUGGAGUAGGUUUGUUGUUGAUACAUGAAUAGUACUAGUAUGUAUUAUCUUAGACUUUCAUGAUUCCUUAGUACAAGCGUAAGGAAAGAAAGGUAAUACUAUGUAAUAUUCUUUAAAAUAACUCAUUUUUUAGUCCUUUUGUUUCAUGUAAGACCAUUUAACUCCAAUUUCAUCAUGGGUCAUCUUAGUUUCUUCGUCAAAUAUUUUAUAAGAUAAAAUAUAUGUGUCUCGAAACUUCUUUCGACUUUGACACCAUGUAAAAUAAGUCUGCUCUAUGAGAAUGAAAAACCCAUGAAAUGACAUGGGUUUUAUGUCUCUACAAGAAUUUAUGUCUUUGACCUCUGUUGAACAAAAGUUUUGUGUCUCUGCUUCAUGUUUCAUCUUCUAUGUCGACUUCAUUAAUAUCGUUUGGACAUUUCAUUAAGUUCUACCCAAGUUGCUCUACUUUUCGAUUUACAUUGAGUUGAUAGUGGCUCUUGCGACCACCAUUUCAUAGGUUAGCCCUUUAUUAAGUUUGAUUUCUAUAUUGAUUCUAAGUGUGUUUUCGUUUGGUGUUAUCGUAGGUCGCUCCCCUACUUGAUCUUAUUAUCGCAUACAAGAUUAUGCGAUAACUCUUCACUGCUCGCUUGAUCUGUUGAGCUUUAUGGAGUUAUUAUCUUGAGAUACCCUUCCUUAACAUAUGCGAAUCGUUGCACAUGAUUCUCCCUCUAGAAUACCAUAACUUAUCUCUCCUGGAUAUAUAUUUCAUUGGAUUAACAUUUCUCUUUGCAUCCUCCCUUUGAAUUUCAAAUAUCACCAUCCCUUUAUACUACUUUUGAAAAAACUAUGCAUUAUUUCGCCCCUACAAAUGCAUUUACUAUAUCGUGACUCUUCACUAAUACAACAAACCCCACCCCCCCUCCUCAACAUAUUGUCUUGAGAUACCCCUCCUCAAUAUAUGCAAAUCAUUGCAUAUGAUUCUCCCUCUAAAGUACCAAACGUAUCCCUCCUGGAUAUAUAUUACAUUGGAGUAACAUUUCUCGUUGUUUCCGAAAGUUUCAGAUAUCACCAUCCCUUUAUACUACUUCGUCUUGCUGAAAGAACUAUGCAUUAUUCCGCCCCCACAAUUACACUUACUAUAUCGUGACUCAUCUCUAAUAUAGUAACCCCCACCCUUCCAUUGCAUUCCUCAAGGCUUAGUAAUAUGUUGAACUUGCUAUACACUUUAACCUCCUAUGGAGGUAUCUUUCCCGUACCGAGGAGAAAGUUUUAAUGUUCUAUAAUACUAAGUUUCGAUCACGUUGGGAUAUCCACUGAUAGUCUAUCAUUCACAUACAAGCCUUUGUAUGAGUACCGAAUCCUUUGAGUUAAUAAUUCCUCUCACAUUUGUAAGCUUUGCACAACUCAUUUAAUCAUUGAGCAACCUAUCGUAUCUUUCAGGGUCUCAUCCUUUGCCAAGCACUCCGCUUGUCGUAAGCAUAAUUAAGUUUGGUUAUCAACGUUGAGUUGUAGCUCGAACUCAACCAUCCUAAUCUUUGUGUGCUAUACGUUCUUCCCAGCUUACUUAUCUUUGUGAUGUCUCUCACGUGAAGGAUUAACUAUUUCUCUGAAUACCAAUCUUGGAUAUUUACUCAUUUAAGUGAUUGGCUAUCCUCAAUGUAGUCCUGCUAAUUCUUUCAUAUUUACAUGCUAGAUAUUUCUAAGCGUGUUUGUCCUACUCUGAUAUCAUUUAUCAUGGACUUAACUGAUUUUAUCUAAGUCAUGUGACACCAUUAUGCACCUGCAUCUAUUUGUAAAUAGCCAAUUUCUAUCAAACUUCUUAUACUCAAACUAAGUUGUGCUCAUACGUAGUAGAUAUGUAGAUUUCUUUGUAUGAUAAGAGAUACUGUCCACUAGUUUACUGAAUACAUCAUUUUAUGAUGCAUGAGUGAUCAAAACAUGAGAGAGAGAGAGAGAGAACGGCAAAGGGAAGGGGUGGACGUCAACGGAGACGCGAUCGGGGUAGUGCAGCAACGCCUGCUUGAGAGGAGGCCAGGAGUCUCUGCUGUCGGGGCACAAAGGGUCGAAGAAGGCCUCCACCACCACCGACUGGCCCCAUACAGGAGCUCCGUUGCAUGCGAACCCAUCAAUCUUGGCUGGGAUUGGCACCUGUGCUUCAACCUUCACAUCGGAGAACAAGGAGCCAAGAAGGAAGAGAAAGCACCCCCAUUGUUCGAGCAGCAGCACCAACCUUCCCCAUGUCUGUCUCCCUUUGCUCUACUUCGAUCUCUU